rnacentral:tRNA from 1 species
AGUAUCGUGACUCAAUGGCUAGAGUGCUCGACUGUCUCUCGAGAAGUUGCGGGUUCGAAUCCCGUCGGUACUG